AUGUGAAGUCUUGCUUGAGAAUGCUUCGUGCACUUAGCUGUGGAAGGAAGAAUAGAAAUUACAAUAAAAAAAUCCUAAUUCUAAUAGAAUACUAACAAUGCUCUAAUUAGACCAUAAUAAUGUUAAGCAAGCUUAAUCAAAUUCAAAAAAAUCUCAAAGAAAUUUCAAACAAAGAAUAAAAAUUCUUAAAAAAAUAUUAGAAGGAUAACAAAUAUCAUUCAAAUACAUCUCAAUUCAAUCUUAAUUUAAUUCUAGUAAAAAUCCUAUUGAACCUCAUUCAAAAUUUAGACCAAAAAUAAUUGAAUCUUAAAUCUUAAUAAAAUCCUAAACCCUAAAUCAAACCCUAAACAAACCUUAAAUCAAAUCUCAACCAAAUCCUAAUCCAAAUCCUAAAUUCUAAACCAAAUCUUAACUAAAUCCUAAAUCCUAAAUCAAAUCCUAACCAAAUCCUAAACCCUAUAUUCUAAACCAAAUCCUAACCAAUUCCUAAACCAAAUCCUAAAUCCAAACCAAUCC
rnacentral:lncRNA from 1 species